rnacentral:tRNA from 1 species
GCCGGAUUAGUUAAGUGGAAUAACGAGGGCUUUGUAAUCCCUUGUCGGCUGUUCGAUUCAACCAUUCGGCA